rnacentral:rRNA from 1 species
UGGGAACGCGAAGAACCUUACCAGGUCCUGACAUCCUUUGACAAUCCUAGAGAUAGGACUUUCCCUUCGGGGACAAAGUGACAGGUGGUGCAUGGUUGUCGUCAGCUCGUGUCGUGAGAUGUUGGGUUAAGUCCCGCAACGAGCGCAACCCCUAUUGUUAGUUGCCAGCAUUCAGUUGGGCACUCUAAUGAGACUGCCGGUGACAAACCGGAGGAAGGUGGGGAUGACGUCAAAUCAUCAUGCCCCUUAUGACCUGGGCUACACACGUGCUACAAUGGAUGGUACAACGAGCAGCAAGACCGCGAGGUCAAGCGAAUCUCUUAAAGCCAUUCUCAGUUCGGAUUGCAGGCUGCAACUCGCCUGCAUGAAGCCGGAAUCGCUAGUAAUCGCGGAUCAGCACGCCGCGGUGAAUACGUUCCCGGGUCUUGUACACACCG